rnacentral:rRNA from 1 species
UACGUAGGGGGCAAGCGUUGUCCGGAUUUAUUGGGCGUAAAGAGCGUGUAGGCGGCCACACAGGUCAGCUGUGAAAACUCGAGGCUCAACCUCGAGACGUCGGUUGAAACCGUAUGGCUAGAGUCCGGAAGAGGAGAGUGGAAUUCCCGGUGUAGCGGUGAAAUGCGCAGAUAUCGGGAAGAACACCCGUGGCGAAGGCGGCUCUCUGGGACGGUACUGACGCUGAGACGGCGAAAGCGUGGGGAGCGAACAGG